UACGUAGGGCGCAAGCGUUGUCCGGAAUUAUUGGGCGUAAAGAGCUCGUAGGCGGUUUGUCGCGUCUGCCGUGAAAGUCCGGGGCUCAACUCCGGAUCUGCGGUGGGUACGGGCAGACUAGAGUGAUGUAGGGGAGACUGGAAUUCCUGGUGUAGCGGUGAAAUGUGCAGAUAUCAGGAGGAACACCGAUGGCGAAGGCAGGUCUCUGGGCAUUAACUGACGCUGAGGAGCGAAAGCAUGGGGAGCGAACAGG
rnacentral:rRNA from 1 species